CCUCAGAUCAGACGAGACUACCCGCUGAAUUUAAGCAUAUCAGUAAGCGGAGGAAAAGAAACUAACAAGGAUUCCCUCAGUAACGGCGAGUGAAGCGGGAAGAGCCCAGCACCGAAUCCCCUGGUUCUGCGCUAGCGGGAAUUGUGGUGUUUGGGACGCCUAUCGGCGCUGUGUCCCUGUGCCCAAGUCCUUCUGAUCGGGGCCUUUCCCAUAGUGGGUGUCAGGCCUUUAGCGGCACGGGACUAGGCGUCCUUGAGCGUCCUUGGAGUCGGGUUGUUUGGGAAUGCAGCCCUAAGCGGGUGGU
rnacentral:rRNA from 1 species